rnacentral:rRNA from 1 species
CAAUAGCGUAUAUUAAAGUUGUUGCAGUUAAAAAGCUCGUAGUUGGAUUUCUGAUCGAGACAUCAGGUCGGGUCCGAGAGGAUCAUGUACUUUGAUUUUGUUUUGAUCAUACUUGGGGAGAGCAUUUCUGGCAUUCAGUUGUCGGGAUUGGGAUCCUCAUCGUUUACUGUGAAAAAAUUAGAGUGUUCAAAGCAGGCCUCGGCCUCUGAAUACAUUAGCAUGGAAUAAUAAGAUAGGACUUUGGUGGUCUAUUUUGUUGGUUUGCACGCCAAAGUAAUGAUUAAUAGGGAUAGUUGGGGGUAUUCGUAUUCAAUUGUCAGAGGUGAAAUUCUUGGAUUUAUGGAAGACGAACUACUGCGAAAGCAUUUACCAAGGAUGUUUUCAUUAA